UUUCGAAAGAAAGACUUUACCGGAUGGCAUACGAAUAUCGCAUGAUAUUUUUAUUAAAGAAUUUCGGUUAUCGAUGGGGAUGCGUUCCAUUAGUUUGUUGGCGGGGUAACGGCCCACCAAGACUACGAUGGAUAGGGGUUCUGAGAGGAAGGUCCCCCACAUUGGAACUGAGACACGGUCCAAACUCCUACGGGAGGCAGCAGUGAGGAAUAUUGGUCAAUGGGCGCGAGCCUGAACCAGCCAAGUAGCGUGAAGGAUGAAGGCUCUAUGGGUCGUAAACUUCUUUUAUAUGGGAAUAAAGUAUUCCACGUGUGGGAUUUUGUAUGUACCAUAUGAAUAAGGAUCGGCUAACUCCGUGCCAGCAGCCGCGGUAAUACGGAGGAUCCGAGCGUUAUCCGGAUUUAUUGGGUUUAAAGGGAGCGUAGGUGGAUUGUUAAGUCAGUUGUGAAAGUUUGCGGCUCAACCGUAAAAUUGCAGUUGAAACUGGGAGUCUUGAGUACAGUAGAGGUGGGCGGAAUUCGUGGUGUAGCGGUGAAAUGCUUAGAUAUCACGAAGAACUCCGAUUG
rnacentral:rRNA from 1 species